CUCUGUUGCUCAGUCUUUCUAAAACUCCUGGCCUCAAGCUUUUUUUUUUUUUUUUGUAUUUUUAUUGGUUUCCUUAGUAAUGGUAGCUAAAGCUCCCAAACAUUCUUUUCUGUUUUUUUUUUUUUCAUUCCUUUCUCUUAAAACUGUUUGGAUUUCCUGAGUAAUAGAUAUGCAUACUAAUUACCAGUCCAAUUUUAUUUUAAGGGCUAAAAUGAUGACUGCAAAAAUGGAC
rnacentral:lncRNA from 1 species